GACGAACGCUGGCGGCGUGCUUAACACAUGCCAGUCGAACGGAAAGGCCCUGCUUUUGUGGGGUGCUCGAGUGGCGAACGGGUGAGUAACACGUGAGUAACCUGCCCUUGACUUUGGGAUAACUUCAGGAAACUGGGGCUAAUACCGGAUAGGAGCUCCUGCUGCAUGGUGGGGGUUGGAAAGUUUCGUCGGUUGGGGAUGGACUCGCGGCUUAUCAGCUUGUUGGUGGGGUAGUGGCUUACCAAGGCUUUGACGGGUAGCCGGCCUGAGAGGGUGACCGGCCACAUUGGGACUGAGAUACGGCCCAGACUCCUACGGGAGGCAGCAGUGGGGAAUAUUGCACAAUGGGCGGAAGCCUGAUGCAGCAACGCCGCGUGCGGGAUGACGGCCUUCGGGUUGUAAACCGCUUUCGCCUGUGACGAAGCGUGAGUGACGGUAAUGGGUAAAGAAGCACCGGCUAACUACGUG
rnacentral:rRNA from 1 species